UCACAUUUACUUUGGAAAAUAUUUUGUAGCUUCAUUGUGCGUGCGUUGAUGUGUAAGUAUGUCAUCUGUUUUGCCGUGCUUUUAAGUGGUCCGCACACAAUAAGGAAUCCAGCCAAUCAGGCGUCGGCCUGGCCGGGUCACGUGACGUGCUUGAAAUUGUCAGCAGCCCUUCGACCUCACCUGAUCUCUUAUGUUGUGUGUCGUGGCAGUAGAAAGUAGGGCAUGCAUCCAGCGCGUAACACACACACACGCACACACACGGUCAGGCUUUGUGGCAUGAUAACAACAGCAGAGCAGAUGAGCGGAACAAGAAUGCAAUGAGCUGUAGCGGUGUAAAACAAGUACACAGCAAACAAGAGAUGGAGGCUCAUGCCAGAGAGGAAGUUGUUCUCAGAGACAGGAAGUCAUCACAAAACAACAGCUUACCAUUCACGCGUGUCCAGUAUCGUGUUGAUGGUGUGCUUGGCGAUGGUGAGUCUGAGCCCCUUCAUGCUGCCGCUCACGUCCACCACAAUGACCACAUCUUUGGGGGAGGUGGCUGCCUGGAUGUACCUGAGGAAGCAGCAGAGAGAGAAAAGAAUAAAACAUACACAAGAGCAUAAACAGAGACGGGCAGACAAAGUUCAUCCACUCAUUUCCCCCCCUUGAUCUCUUUACUCCCAUCCUCUUUAAUUACAAGCUCGUAGACAUGAAUGCGAUUUCCCGUUUGGGGCAGCAGCUGCCACAGCCGGCAUUCCAGAUCCAUAAUCUGUUUGUCGGACUUCCGACUUCGUGGAGGUUCUCCCCCAGGGACCAGACGGCGUUCCUGGAAUUGACUUGAAUUUCUCUUACGGAUCAUGAACAGCGUUUCACCUCAGUCGGACUUCAAAACAACAGACGGACUGAAUGUGCUCGACCUAAAGCCCCACGCUCCCUCGAUGUUAUCAAAAUUGGAGUAAAAUAAAUGCAUGUGUCUCGACCAUGGUUCACCAACAAGGUGUAUCUCAUGUGUGAAGGUACAUUGUGAUUUCCAAGUCAUCAUUUGGGAAUGUAAACAAUCGCAGGUUUUUAGAGAAAUGGAGCUUUCACUUUGUUCCGUCAUUCCUUUUGAUUUGCUUUAAAGUGUUGCGUAAUUAUUUGUCUCCAGCUUUGUUAACCCAUUGCUUACAAUUAUAUGGAUCAAUUACUAGCA